rnacentral:tRNA from 1 species
GCCAGUGUGGCGUAGUGGUUUGAGCAUUGGACUAUGAUUCUGGAGAUCAGGGUUCGAAUCCCCUCUCAGCUA